ACGCUGUCUGCGGGAGCGGUGAGGACAGCCGCGCCUCAGGCCCAGCCUCCGCGACCCCUCUUCAAAUCACUGCCCCAUUCACCCCUCCCCGCCCCCCGGUCCCAUCCGAUGCCGGAGACCAGGCUGCCAGUUCCCUGGGCCCCGAGCCAAGGACACUGAGGUUCACAGACUACCACCAUACGCUGGCUACAGCCGAAUGCUUCGAGAAGAGCCCCACCCCCACCCCACCCCCCCACUUCGGUCCCGCUGCGCCCCUUUCCUGGACUCCGGACUCAUCUCUAUCAGCUUAGGCAUCUCCCAGCGCUCAGAGCUCAGCGCCGCCCGCCCGCCCGGGAGUCUUCGUUGACACUGGCAUCCCAACCCGAUUUGUCUCCCGCUAUAAAAUAAGCCGCCCUUCGAGAGGAGAGUUCCUGGUAGUCCUAUUUCUACUUUCCAAGUCGUGUGUGGAGCUAUCUACAGCUAGGCUGCUGUAGACCCGGACCACAAUUCUUGAUACAUGUCAACAUUUGACCUUUCCAUUUUCCUUGGGAGGUAGGCAGGCAGGCAGGAAGUAACAUUCCCUUUUACAGAUGAGAAAGGUGAGGCCAAGAGAACAAAAGUCACAUAGUUGGUACACUUCCAUUCCUGACUGAACUGGGGCAGGGCAUCUCCAAAUACAAAUGCUUCCCCCACCCAAUCUCAUUCAAAUAGCCAAGUGGGGAAGGGAUGGUUUCACUAAGGGUGAGAACCCAUUAAAGCUGGAA